rnacentral:rRNA from 1 species
GCUGGCGGCAGGCCUAACACAUGCAAGUCGAGCGCCCAGCAAUGGGAGCGGCAGACGGGAGAGUAACACGUGGGAACGUACCCUUCAGUUCGGAACAACCCAGGGAAACUUGGGCUAAUACCGAAUACGUCCGUAAGGAGAAAGAUUUAUCGCUGAAGGAUCGGCCCGCGUCUGAUUAGCUAGUUGGUGAGGUAACGGCUCACCAAGGCGACGAUCAGUAGCUGGUCUGAGAGGAUGAUCAGCCUCAUUGGGACUGAGACACGGCCCAAACUCCUACGGGAGGCAGCAGUGGGGAAUAUUGGACAAUGGGCGCAAGCCUGAUCCAGCCAUGCCGCGUGGAUGAUGAAGGCCCUAGGGUUGUAAAGUCCUUUCGACGGGGAAGAUAAUGACGGUACCCGUAGAAGAAGCCCCGGCUAACUUCGUGCCAGCAGCCGCGGUAAUACGAAGGGGGCUAGCGUUGCUCGGAAUCACUGGGCGUAAAGCGCACGUAGGCGGACUCUUAAGUCGGUGGUGAAAUCCUGGAGCUCAACUCCAGAACUGCCUUCGAUACUGAGAGUCUUGAGUCCGGGAGAGGUGAGUGGAACUGC